GGCGGGCCGGGCCGCUCUGGAAGCGGAGGGGGCCGGGCGGAAAAUGGCGGCCGGCUCGAAAUCAGAGCGGGCCGGGCGGAAAGCUGGGCCCAGCGGGCGGGUGCUCGGUCGGGCCGGGCCCGCGGUGCCGCCGCGAGCACGUCGUGAGGCAGCUGGACCGCGCCAAGGGUCACCUUCUGCCGCACGGCAAGAGAAUUCUGCAUGACUGAUUCCGCUCGUGGCUCAGGAAGAGGCUACGUUUAAAAGUUCAUUAGUUUCCUCCUGACCGUGCCAGUGACUAAAACUGAGUUAUGAUUUUUGAACCCCAGAAAAAUGACACCGCUCUUAGAGAUCCGGGCUAUUUCUGAACAUGUUUUCGUCAUGUGCAAAUGUCCUCGGGAUGCAGAUCGCCUGCGCUUGGUGCUCUGACGAGAUGAUACACUGACACAGGGAAGAGCUCCGGCAGCCAGAAAAGACACAAGGCGAUCGAGGUCAAAGGAGAGACGUGGACGAACUGGGACAAAGCGGCGUCUCGCUUCUGCACGUUUUCCAGGCGUUCCCACGAAGCGCCAGCAGCAUCGUAACUAGUGACGGCGAGUCCUGAUGUAGCUUUGAAUGUCAACUGCCAGCGUUUCUCCAUGUGGUGUUGUGCCGUGACAGUGCAGGACAGACAGAAAGGAUCCGGAGUGCUCUGUGAGUAUGAGGGUUUGACCCCUCCGUCUCGGCUGCAUCGACCCUGUGAACGAGGUGACCGGCGGCAGCAGCGCUGUUACCAAAGACAGGCCUCUGCUUUGUUUCUGAAAUAGUUGUUUCUUACUAACCCUUAUUGUGUGAGAAAAUAGCUAAUUACUGACUUCAUUACUGUGUAAAAAUAGUUAGUCACUGGGCUGAUGUUACAGAUAGUGAUAGUGAGGAGACAACCAGAAGUAGUUAAUCACUUCAAGGUUCUUCUAUAUGUCAAGUAUGUACUCUUAUACCAAUUAGGAUGGAGUUAGGGCUGCUUCAAAGAACAUCCUUAUUAUCUUCAAGAAGUUGGCAAACUUACAGCAAACAUUUAGUGUCCUGAGAUGACUCGACACCUUAAAAGGAUAAUGUGAGGAAGGGCCUCCUUACCCAAACGACCACGGGGAAACUCACGCUUGUGCAGAAGUGUUUUGCCGCCACAGCAAAAUUUGAUACACGUGUGCAAAAAGCCUAUUCGGUCAUCCUGAUGAAUAGGCAAGCCUAGGUGGAGUUAUGGAUUAGGUAGGUGGAAUUAUGAGAAUAUUUUGUGUAUAAAUAGUGGGUGAAUAUGCCUGGUAAGGUGUGCUAGACUGUGGUUUUUCCCCCUAGCACCCGAUGUCUAAUAAAGCACUGUCUCCUCUCUGAACUACCUUCGGUUUCAAGGGCUUUUAUUUCAGGUCACAGCACCAGGGCAGUAGCUGCGGCGGUGGCUCCGUCAGCGUGGAUUCUGGUUACGGCCCAGCCCGGUCCUGCCGCCCCGCACGCAGGGUGACGGAUCUCCGGGCGGCCGCGCUGGGAGGAAGGGGCCAGACGUUUUUCAGCGCGGGCCAGAGGGUUUGCCGUCACACUAAGAAGGUGUUCCAAAUGGCAUCGGUUAGCCUUAAUCCUGACUUCAGGAGUUGGGCUGGCGCUGGCUUUUGCAGGCUGGCUGUGCAGUUUGUUGCUGUGUUCCUUUUUUGGGGGGGAAUAGAAGGGUGUCUGUAUGUGUCUGGGGGUGAUGACGUCAUUGGGGGCACCCCCAUGUCACCGGGGCAGUGACGAUGCGGCGGAGGAGCAGGUGAGCAGGGGAUGGGGGGGGGGUCUCAGCCCCAAAACGUUGGAAAAUUCUCGGGAUGUGUUAAAAAAUGUGAAAACCUGUAACUACGGGCGUAAGGCAUUGAACUAGAGAACGAUUCUCAUUUAUGUACGAGAAAUACGUAUAUUGAGAAACAAUACUAAUUUAUGUAUGUAAAAUAAGUUCACAAUAAAAACCUCUGUCUCUAAGGAUUCCAUGGUUCUGUGUUUCUGCGUCGUAUAAAAGAUCCC